GUCGUAACAAGGUUUCCGUAGGUGAACCUGCGGAAGGAUCAUUGUCGAAGCCUAAAUCUGACCGCGAACCCGUUUACAACCGACGGAGCGAGGGAGACGGACGGCGGGCGACCGCCGACCGAUCCUCCCUCCCACGUCCCCAACAACAAACCCCGGCGCAGGUCGCGCCAAGGAAGUAUAUUAUUACCGGGAUGCCGGCGUCUUCCGUCGUGCUCCGUCCGCGGUCCGCACACGGGACGCCGGCGUCUUCCGAACGAACAAACAACGACUCUCGGCAACGGAUAUCUCGGCUCUCGCAUCGAUGAAGAACGUAGCGAAAUGCGAUACUUGGUGUGAAUUGCAGAAUCCCGCGAAUCAUCGAGUCUUUGAACGCAAGUUGCGCCCGAAGCCACCCGGCCGAGGGCACGUCUGCCUGGGCGUCACGCAUCGCGUCGCUCCCAAAACCCUGCCCCACCAGUGGGGGGGUUGGGGGGAGCGGAGAUUGGCCUCCCGUGCGCCCGGCGUGCGCGGCUGGCCGAAAACAGAGACGACGGCAACGGACGUCACGACUAGCGGUGGUCGUACGAUAGCCAAUGCAUGAGUUUAAGCAUCCGUGCCGUCUUCGACCCCCACGAGAGCCCCCGAGCUCCAUUGCGACCCCAGGUCAGGCGGGACUACCCGCUGAAUUUAAGCAUA
rnacentral:rRNA from 1 species